rnacentral:rRNA from 1 species
AGGACGAACGCUGGCGGCGUGCUUAACACAUGCAAGUCGAGCGGUAAGGCUCCUUCGGGAGUACACGAGCGGCGAACGGGUGAGUAACACGUGAGCAAUCUGCCCUUCACAUCGGGAUAACCCCCGGAAACGGGAGCUAAUACCGGAUACGACCACUUCAGGCAUCUGAUGGUGGUGGAAAGUUCCGGCGGUGAAGGAUGAGCUCGCGGCCUAUCAGCUAGUUGGUGAGGUAAUGGCCCACCAAGGCUUCGACGGGUA